GUUUUGGUCUAGAAUUAUCUUCUCAAUAACCAAUUUUACUGAAAUGAAGUAUGUUGCAUGUCUCAGAAGGACACUUUUUUUCUUUUCAUUUUUAUACUUCCUUUUAGUACAAAUUCUGUGAUGAACCAAACCUCUACCAGUUUCAAUGACGCAAUUUCUGUUGAUACAUCCUCAGGACUAGAAGGUUCAAGACACGUUUGUAAUUCAGCCUGUCAGUGGAACUUACUAUGUGACAUACACCAUUUCCUCUGCUACUUUGACACUUUCUUGUUACUAUCCGAUCUUGUGAAUCUUCAUCCUUGGCUUUGCUGAAGAUUGGAUCCACAGAACAAGCCAAUGGCCACAGUCAUGGCACUGAAUACUUCUGGACUGUUGGCGAUGUGAUCUACCAGGAACUCAUUGGUACUGUGAUUUGAGAGAUGCACUUGGAGCAAACUUGAAGAAAUACCCAUUUUAGAGGCUAAACUGUGCAGAAGCCUUCAGUGUAGGUAGUUCCUAGGAAUCUUCCUGACUGGAUCUACAAAGACCCAGUUUAAGAACAUUCUGUCCUUAAAAUUGUCUGCAAGGAUGGAUAAAAGCAUACUUUUGGAAUUUAGUCAAAUCUAAUGACUUUAAGGUUGGAGUCAAUAACACUUUUUUAUACCAGGCAUCAGAAAUCUAGAAUUCAAGACCAAACUGGCCAACUUCUUUCUUGAAAAACACUGACUGGAAAAAAAAAAAAAAAAAGAGGAAGAAUGAUAAUUGAUUAAAAGACGCUUACUCUUUGGAAGAAAAAUUGUGACCAACCUAGAUAGCAUAUUGAAAAGCAGAGAGAUUACUUUGCCAACAAAGGUCCAUCUAGUCAAGGCUAUGGUUUUUCCAGUGGUCAUGUAUGGAUGUGAGAGUUGGACUAUAAAGAAAGCUGAGCACCAAAGAAUUGAUGCUUUUGAACUGUGGUGUUGGAGAAGACUCUUGAGAGUCCCUUGGACUGCAAGGAGAUCCAACUAGUCCAUUCUGAAGGAGAUCAGUCCUGGGAUUUCUUUGGAAGGAAUGAUGCUAAAGCUGAAGCUCCAGUACUUUGGCCACCUCAUGCGAAGAGUUGACUCAUUGGAAAAGACUCUAAUGCUGGGAGGGAUUUGGGA
ensembl:lncRNA